AAUGGACCAAGAGGGAAUACAUGAGAUACAAACCCAACAUGAAAAAUCCACACCCUAAUACAGAUGCAGCCCAAAAUUGUAAUUAAGUCUAAGCCCACAUAUAGUCCAAAAUACAUGCCAUUUGAAUCAUGACAUACUGAAUCACUGCACCGCCUCCACUGCAACCGUAAUGAGACAACAAAUAAACAGUCGGAUCAGAGCAACACAACAAUAUCAUGCAUGCCUAGAAAACAACACCAGAGCAGAUUCACCAAUUCACUCUAAUAUUAGACAUGCAAGAUCAAAUUCAAAAGUAAAAACCAAAUAGAAGCCAAAACAAUCUCACUCGAAACUUAACAAAAUUGUUGAGAAACACCAUCUCUAGACGUGCACAAUCAAAUCAUCUAAAGACACAAUAAGAAAAGUGGUAUCUCCAAGCAUGAAAAAGUGCUCAAAUUAAAAGGGAGACAUGACAGAGUUUACCGAGAAUGUGAAUGGCUAGAAGCGGUGCCGAUCCCGAAUUGUAAGUGUCAACGGUCAACAACCCUCCCUCAAGUAGAGAAACUCGCUCAUACUCAAAACUCCAAAAGUCACAAGAGAUCAAAAUCAAACAAACCAUAAACAGAAUAAAAAAACAACAUACUCAUUUUAAAAUUGAAUCGAUACUAACAACAGCUAUACAAAAUCUAUACAAAAGCAGGCGGAGAGAAGGUCGAACCCUCCGCUUGCUGCCAACACACUUCUCGCACCGUUAGUCUCUUUUUUUUCUCUUUCUCGCUCUCUCGAUUUCUC
rnacentral:lncRNA from 1 species